rnacentral:lncRNA from 1 species
GAAUAAGAUUAAGCAGGGUCCUGGGACAAUUGGAGCCAAUCACCCAAAUGUCCUGGCCCCAAGAUGUUCCAUCUGUAAAUGGGAUUAAUAAUUCUCGUCUUGCAUUGUAGAAGGUUAAGGGACUUACUCAAAGCCCCAGGCAGAUGCAGCCGGGGCAGCUGAUGUCCCUUCUAGCUUUGGGGGUGGAUGGGCAGGGCCAUGUUGUAGCACCAGACCUGACCCUGAUCUCUUUGUUUCUGUGAACAGAUGUGAAGUGAGCAGGACCUCAUGGCCCAGAAGGUGCCGGGUACAUCUGGGCACAGAGACUAGGAAUGGAGUCCCAUGGGAGCCUGCAUGGCACUGCACCCUGGCAUGAGGACAUGUCCUCUAAGAAGAUCUACCUUGGGAGGUGCCCUGCAGUGACCUGUAGAGGUGACCUGAUGGAACCUGGAAUUAGAGGCCAAUUCCAAAACCUGGUGGGAAAACCCCCCAGGCCUUGAGGGAGUCACAGCAGGGGCAGGCCUCCUGCUGGCUUCCUGGCCACGUAUCUCUACUCUCAUGUGGCUGCAGGGAUGGCAUCUGUGGCCUUUCUGCUCCUGCCUGGUCCGCCAGUCAGCUAAAAUUCAGAGACAGGAAGUGACUAGUCUAAGUUAACACAGCAAGUCAGCGGCAGGUCAGGCUUGAGGGCAGAACCUUGCCCCUGGGUGAACCAUUCCUGCAGGCUUCAUUUCCUUUCUGAGUCAGGAAGGUUGUUAACACUUUGGGGUCACGUGGCCCUUUGAAAAUUUGUGAAAAUUGUGGACCUUCUCUCCAGGAAAACAUGCAUACUCACUUAGACUCAAAAAUUCCAAGCAAUUUCAGGAGCUGCUGGACUCCAGACAAAGAACCUCAGCCCUGGAGGCUUCAUCUGCCACCCUUCCCUUACCUGACACAGAGCCCCGAGCUAAGGCUGCCAUGCAAGUAGUGUUUCUCUCUCCCCUGACCUCGUUCCCGUUCCCUUGUUUGGGAAUAAAGAAUUCUGAGGUGGAGAUUCAUAUAGUCAAUCCCUUCUCUCAGACACCAGUGCACCAGAUUUCUGGAACCUAAUUUCCCUUCCCCUGACGUCACUGAAGAUUCCCUGGACUGGUUUGCUCCUCUGCAUUGUUUCGUGUUCUGCCAACAGGAUGCUGGCUUGUGAAAUGGAGCCUCUGCUCGGCCUGGGCUCUGAUUUCACUGGGAGGUGUCAGGGAAGCUGGACUCUGAGGAGGUGGAAGAAGCACCAGUAAGCCCACCCAGGGAAAAGGAAACCAGUCACCCUCAGACAAGGCUCCUGCCCCACCAGGGCAGCCCUAGGCAGUGUCAUGUGGGAGAGCUGGGGAGGAAGACGCUAGAGCCCUGCUGCUGGUGCCUGUGGCUGGUGGGAGAGGCAGGUGCAGAAGCUGGGGUGCCCCAAGCAGAUGGGUACAAGUGGAGGGACCAGGCUCCAGGCCGGCUGCAGAGCUUAGUCGUCACACCUGAGCAGGUCAUCCUGGAGCCCACAAGGCUCACCUGCCUCCCCAGAAUGAACUGCCCAUCAGAAAAGGUGGGACCCAUUGGGUUGGGAUGGAAGCCAAUGGAUUCCUGUCCUGGGUUCUUGCUGCUCCUAUCCCUCAGACAGUUUGGCACAUAGGUUCUUCCUGGACACCUACUGUAUAGGAUUGCAGAAUGCUUGGGGAAAUAGAGAAAGGAGAGCCACUCCCUGCCCUGGAGGCUUCCAUGUGGCUCUGGUCCUUGGCCAAUCUAGGGAGAACCACAACAGCACACCCUCUCUCUGCUAAUUGUUCAGCUUGUCUCCUUGCCGUACCUGUGCUGUGCCUUCCCUGGUAUUGCUCGGAAACGUCCCCCUUCUAUCCUCCUCUCUACUGAGCCCUCCUUAUCCACAGGGUUGGGCUUCCUUCUGUGUAUAGGACCUGUGUGAACAUACUGUCACCCCUGAGUACACUGUGCUGUCUAGUCUUGUGCUGCAGUUUCCUCUGUGUGUAUGUGCGUGCGCACAUGUGUGUCUUGAGUCUCCAACUAGACUAAGCUCCCUGAGGGCAAGGACUGUGUCAUUUCUUUUUGAACCCCAGCUGGUCUAGCACAGGGCUGGACUCAUAACUCUCAGGAAACACUUGUCAACUGGCUGAUGAAGCAAGUGCUGGAGCGUGGGGGUGGGUAUGGGGGGAUCGUGAGGGGAGAGGGCAUAUGAGUUAACUAGUGGGUGCGUUUUAUUGGGCUGUGGACUGGCUCCCCUGGGUCAGUAGUGGACUCUGGAGGCCUCAGGUCUUCCACUACUUGGAGGCAGUGGAUGCAGGAGGAACCCCCACCCCCACCCCUGCCCAUGACUAUGCAGGACUAAACAGAAAGGGUCGUCCAGGCUGGCUAUUUUUGGAGGUCACUGACACUUACUGGAGCUGACCAAGUG